GUUUGUAGAGUGCCACAAAGUACUAACAAAUUUUUGUGACCUUUCAGAGCACAAAAAUUUUUGAGAUAAUCUUUCGUCGUAUCCCAAGAGGAAAUUAUUAGUUUGUAAAAUUAGUAUUAAUCAGCAAUUAAAAGCGAGACGUCACCCAUGUUCUCAAAAAUUCUAAUAAUACUAAUACUACCAUUGGCAAGUUACAGGUUAUCAGUAGCCAAAUGGAAAUUCCCUAACGAUUUUAAAUUUGGCGUUGCGACUUCUGCCUACCAGACAGAAGGCGGCUGGAAUGCCGAUGGUAGAGGUACCAGCAUAUGGGAUGUGGCCACCCAUAACCGCUCGUUUCUAAUCCGUGAUAGCAGUAACGGUGAUAUAGCUUGUGAUUCGUAUAAUAAAUGGGAGGAGGAUAUCCUCAUGAUCAAAAAUCUGGAAGUUCACUAUUAUCGAUUCUCCAUAUCCUGGACUAGAAUCUUACCUGAUGGGUACUCCUCCAAAGUUAACCCUGCGGGGAUAAAAUAUUACAACAAAAUUAUCGAUAAACUAAUCGAAAAUGGAAUAGAACCGGUCGUCACUUUGUAUCAUUGGGACUUGCCUCAAGUCUUCAGUGCUUUGGGCGGAUGGACUAAUCCCAUAGUGAUCCCGUAUUUUGCAAAUUAUGCCCGAAAAGCGUUUCGUUUAUUUGGAGACAGAGUCAAAAUUUGGAUUACUAUAAACGAACCACGAUUAAUGUGUGAUUUUUUUAAAGGAUUAGUGGGUGACAUAACCCCUGAUUAUCCUCUGGGAAUCUCGGAGUAUUUGUGUGCCCAUAAUGUCCUCAAAGCACAUGCAGCAGCUUAUCAUAUUUAUGAUAGGGAAUUCAGACCUGUGCAGUACGGAAAAAUAUCAAUCACUUUGGAUAUGGUGUGGUCCGAACCGGCCAAUGCCAGUGAUCCUGAAGAUGUACGAGCUGCGGAACAAAACGUGCAAUUCGAUUUUGGUCUUUAUGCUAACCCCAUUUUUAAUUAUGAUUACCCAAAAGUGGUUAUUGAACGUGUAGCAAAUCGGAGUAAAAUAGAAAAAAUACCUAAAUCAAGACUACCUAAAUUCACAAUGGCCGAGAAAUUAAAAAUUAAAGGAACUUAUGAUUUUUUGGGUAUAAAUCACUAUAUUACGAUGUACACAAAAGCCACUAAAGAACCACCUUUAACCAAAACAUCGUUCGAUAUAGAUUCAGGGGGAGAAAGGUUUUUUGAUCCCAAAUGGGAAAGUUGUGCUGCUGAAUGGAUUAAAAUAGUACCGUGGGGCUUUAGAAAUAGUUUAAAAUGGAUUAAAAAAAAUUACCAAAAUCCUGAAAUAAUGAUUACAGAAAAUGGUUAUGCUGACGGAGACAAUGUCAUUAAUGAUGAUGGAAGAAUUAAAUACUAUCGCGAAUAUUUGAAUGCCACUUUACAAGCAAUUAUCGAAGAUGGUGUGAAUGUCAAGAGUUACAUUGCUUGGAGUUUAAUGGACAAUUAUGAGUGGGGUUUCGGUUAUACACUCAAAUUUGGUUUAUAUCAUGUCAAUUUUAGUGACCCAAAUCGACAACGAACCCCUAAAAAGUCAGUAGAAUUUUUCAAAAAAGUUGUCAGAGCUCGAACUAUUCCUUAGUUAUUUAUUGUGGAUUAUGAUCGUAUUAAAUUAUUGUCAGAUAAUUAGUUUGUUAAUUAGUCGACCUUACUCAGAAAAACAAUAAAAGCAUACCAUAAUAAAAAUAUUAUCACGUUAUAAUAAGCAGAUUAGCUCGUUAUUUGCAUGAAAAAGAAAAUUAACUUAGUUGAAUCAAAUCUAUUAAAUGUAAAUGACAUGUCUGAGAAAUUUUUACUCAUUUUAGUAUUUCUAGGAUUUUCCAACGCUAUAGAAUGGAAAUUCCCCGCUGAUUUCAAAUUCGGCGUUGCCACUUCAGCCUACCAGAUCGAAGGUGGCUGGAAUGCCGAUGGUAAAGGUACCAGCAUAUGGGACACUCUCGGUCACAACCGUUCUAUCC